CGUGUAGGCGGAGGAAUGUGUCGGAAGUGAAAUCGUGCGGCUUAACCGUUACAAUAGCUUUCGAAACUGUUCCCCUUGAGUACGGAAGAGGCAGACGGAAUACCAGGUGUAGCGGUGGAAUGCGUAGAUAUCCGGUAGAACACCGGAGGCGAAGGCGGUCUGCUGGUCCGAUACUGACGCUGAGGCGCGAAAGUGUGGGUAGCGAACA
rnacentral:rRNA from 1 species